rnacentral:rRNA from 1 species
UACCGGCGGCUCGAGUGGUGGCCAUUAUUACUGGGCUUAAAGCGUCCGUAGCUUGAUUGUUAAGUCUCUUGGGAAAUCCACCGGCUCAACCGAUGGGCGUUCAGGAGAAACUGGCAAUCUAGGGACCGGGAGAGGUGAGAGGUACUCCAGGGGUAGGAGUGAAAUCCUGUAAUCCUUGGGGGACCACCUGUGGCGAAGGCGUCUCACUAGAACGGCUCCGACAGUGAGGGACGAAAGCUGGGGGAGCAAACCGG